GAUGAACGCUGGCGGCGUGCCUAAUACAUGCAAGUCGAGCGAACAGACGAGGAGCUUGCUCCUCUGACGUUAGCGGCGGACGUGUGAGUAACACGUGGAUCACCUACCUAUAAGACUGGGAUAACUUCGGGAAACCGGAGCUAAUACCGGAUAAUAUAUUGAACCGCAUGGUUCAAUAGUGAAAGACGGUUUUGCUGUCACUUAUAGAUGGAUCCGCGCCGCAUUAGCUAGUUGGUAAGGUAACGGCUUACCAAGGCAACGAUGCGUAGCCGACCUGAGAGGGUGAUCGGCCACACUGGAACUGAGACACGGUCCAGACUCCUACGGGAGGCAGCAGUAGGGAAUCUUCCGCAAUGGUCGAAAGCCUGACGGAGCAACGCCACGUGAGUUAUGAAGGUCUUCGGAUCGGAAAACUCUGUUAUUAGGGAAGAACAAAUGUGUAAGUAACUAUGCACGUCUUGACGGUACCUAAUCAGAAAGCCACGGCUAACUACGUG
rnacentral:rRNA from 1 species